GAGGGAACCGGUGGGGGGCACGGACUCCCCGUACGGGGAGUCCGUG
rnacentral:miRNA from 7 species